rnacentral:rRNA from 1 species
AGUGAACGCUGGCGGUAGGCCUAACACAUGCAAGUCGAACGGCAGCACAGUAAGAGCUUGCUCUUACGGGUGGCGAGUGGCGGACGGGUGAGGAAUACAUCGGAAUCUACUUUUUUGUGGGGGAUAACGUAGGGAAACUUACGCUAAUACCGCAUACGACCUACGGGUGAAAGCAGGGGAUCUUCGGACCUUGCGCGAUUGAAUGAGCCGAUGUCGGAUUAGCUAGUUGGCGGGGUAAAGGCCCACCAAGGCGACGAUCCGUAGCUGGUCUGAGAGGAUGAUCAGCCACACUGGAACUGAGACACGGUCCAGACUCCUACGGGAGGCAGCAGUGGGGAAUAUUGGACAAUGGGCGCAAGCCUGAUCCAGCCAUACCGCGUGGGUGAAGAAGGCCGUCGGGUUGUAAAGCCCUUUUGUUGGGAAAGAAAAGCAGCAGGUUAAUACCCCGCUGUUCUGACGGUACCCAAAGAAUAAGCACCGGCUAACUUCGUGC